CCUACGGGCCGCAGCAGUGGGGAAUAUUGCACAAUGGGCGCAAGCCUGAUGCAGCCAUGCCGCGUGUAUGAAGAAGGCCUCCGGGUUGUAAAGUACUUUCAGCGAGGAGGAAGGCGUUAAGGUUAAUAACCUUGGCGAUUGCCGUUACUCGCAGAAGAAGCACCGGCUAACUCCGUGCCAGCAGCCGCGGUAAUACGGAGGGUGCAAGCGUUAAUCGGAAUUACUGGGCGUAAAGCGCACGCAGGCGGUCUGUCAAGUCGGAUGUGAAAUCCCCGGGCUCAACCUGGGAACUGCAUUCGAAACUGGCAGGCUAGAGUCUUGUAGAGGGGGGUAGAAUUCCAGGUGUAGCGGUGAAAUGCGUAGAGAUCUGGAGGAAUACCGGUGGCGAAGGCGGCCCCCUGGACAAAGACUGACGCUCAGGUGCGAAAGCGUGGGGAGCAAACAGGAUUAGAUACCCGCGUAGUC
rnacentral:rRNA from 1 species